CAGUCGCCACGGUAAUACAGAGGGUGCGAGCGUUAAUCGGAUUUACUGGGCGUAAAGCGUGCGUAGGCGGCUUCUUAAGUCGGAUGUGAAAUCCCUGAGCUUAACUUAGGAAUUGCAUUCGAUACUGGGAAGCUAGAGUAUGGGAGAGGAUGGUAGAAUUCCAGGUGUAGCGGUGAAAUGCGUAGAGAUCUGGAGGAAUACCGAUGGCGAAGGCAGCCAUCUGGCCUAAUACUGACGCUGAGGUACGAAAGCAUAGGGAGCAAACAGGAUUAGAGACCCCCGUAGUCCCUGUCUCUUAUAC
rnacentral:rRNA from 1 species